rnacentral:rRNA from 1 species
UACGUAGGGUGCGAGCGUUGUCCGGAAUUAUUGGGCGUAAAGGGCUCGUAGGCGGUCUGUCGCGUCGGGAGUGAAAACUCAGGGCUUAACCCUGAGCCUGCUUCCGAUACGGGCAGACUAGAGGUAUGCAGGGGAGAACGGAAUUCCUGGUGUAGCGGUGAAAUGCGCAGAUAUCAGGAGGAGCACCGGUGGCGAAGGCGGUUCUCUGGGCAUUGCCUGACGCUGAGGAGCGAAAGUGUGGGAAGCGAACAGG